rnacentral:rRNA from 1 species
GUAGGGUGCAAGCGUUAUCCGGGAAUCAUUGGGCAUAAAGAGCUCGUAGGCGGUUCAGCAAGUCGGCUGUGAAAUCCCGAGGGCUUAACCUCGGAACUGCAGUCGAUACUGCUGUGACUAGAGUCCGGUAGAGGAGAAUGGAAUUCCCGGUGUAGCGGUGAAAUGCGCAGAUAUCGGGAGGAACACCAGUAGCGAAGGCGGUUCUCUGGGCCGGUACUGACGCUGAGGAGCGAAAGCGUGGGUAGCAAACAGGAUUAGAUACCCUGGUAGUCCACGCCGUAAACGUUGGACACUAGGUGUGGCGUUCCGACCAACGGGUGCCGUGCCGAAGCUAACGCAUUAAGUGUCCCGCCUGGGGAGUACGGCCGCAAGGCUA